CCUACGGGAGGCAGCAGUGGGGAAUAUUGGGCAAUGGGCGCAAGCCUGACCCAGCAACGCCGCGUGAAGGAAGAAGGUUUUCGGGUUGUAAACUUCUUUUCUCAGGGACGAAGCAAGUGACGGUACCUGAGGAAUAAGCCACGGCUAACUACGUGCCAGCAGCCGCGGUAAUACGUAGGAGGCAAGCGUUAUCCGGAUUUACUGGGUGUAAAGGGCGUGUAGGCGGGUACGCAAGUCAGUUGCGAAAACCAUGGGCUCAACCUGUGGCCUGCGUUUGAAACUGUGGUUCUUGAGUGCUGGAGGGGCAAACGGAAUUCCUAGUGUAGCGGUGGAAUGCGUAGAUAUUAGGAGGAACACCAGUGGCGAAGGCGGACUGCUGGACAGCAACUGACACUGAGGCACGAAAGCGUGGGGAGCAAACAGGAUUAGAUACCCGAGUAGUC
rnacentral:rRNA from 1 species